AUUGAACGCUGGCGGCAUGCCUUACACAUGCAAGUCGAACGGCAGCACGGGGGCAACCCUGGUGGCGAGUGGCGAACGGGUGAGUAAUGCAUCGGAACGUGCCCAGUAGUGGGGGAUAACCAGUCGAAAGACUGGCUAAUACCGCAUACGACCUAAGGGUGAAAGCGGGGGACCGUAAGGCCUCGCGCUAUUGGAGCGGCCGAUGUCUGAUUAGCUAGUUGGCGGGGUAAGAGCCCACCAAGGCGACGAUCAGUAGCUGGUCUGAGAGGACGACCAGCCACACUGGGACGGAGACACGGCCCAGACUCCUACGGGAGGCAGCAGUGGGGAAUUUUGGAAAAUGGGGGCAAGCCUGAUCCAGCCAGGCCGCGUGCGGGAAGAAGGCCUUCGGGUUGUAAACCGCUUUUGGCAGGAACGAAACGGCGCAAGCCAAUACCUUGCGCUAAUGACGGUACCUGCAGAAUAAGCACCGGCUAACUACGUGCCAGCAGCCGCCGUAA
rnacentral:rRNA from 1 species